rnacentral:lncRNA from 1 species
AUAUAACACUCAAGGCCUCCUAUAUCUGUAUUUAAUGUCUAUGAGAUUGAACGAGGAGCAGAUAAUGGUUGAGAUAUAAAAAUAGCCACAACCUUGAUCUUUCAGGAUAAAGACAAGUUAUUAAUUACUUGUGCAUUAGGACUAAUGACAUCCUACAGAUUAUGGUAAUUCCAAUUCUGAUAGAGAACAAUCUACCUAAAGAUUUAAACAUGCUCCUAAUACAGAAUUUUAAUUGUCAAUACAAUGAAGAUACAAUAUAGAACUAUACAAAUAAUUGCACUAAAAAAUAAUACCUAAGAGAUAUAAAUAGUCAUACCUGCUGGCAGUAGAGAACGAAAAGGAGAAAGAUCUUAGAGAUAGAUAUGAGUUAGAUCUUGCACAAUAUCAAUGAACAAACGUUAGAUUGAAAUAGAAAAGACAAUUCAACCAAAAAUCAGAAACAAAAUAUAGAGCACAGAUCAAGAACUUGGAAUUUGAAAUAAGAUAGAAUCAGAAAAUCAAAGAAAAAUAAAAACUUAAACCCC